GCUGAUGACGGGCCGGUGGCAGCGAGUUACGUGCUCUCCCGACCUGAAAAGCUGGAUUGGCAACGACACCUGAUGUCCCAGCAGAGGGCUGCUGCUGUGCCGUCUGUACAGCAGGUGCAUUCCUUCUCUCCCGUACUGAAAUCUGCGAUGAGUUGCAGCUGGUAACAUGAAAAUGUCUUAAUUCAGGAAAUGUAGUUGAAAACAUUCAGCAUGGAAUGCAGGCAACAAUAACACCGAUGUCAGCCUGCUGCUCAAGAUUGACAGGGGAUCCCAAGAGGAAAUACGUCACUAGAUGCUUGCCAGCCACCGUUCUCUCCUUCCCCCAGGUUUGCCGGAUGACCAUCCUGGCAUCAAUGUCUUGACAUGAG